CUUCGAAGACGGCCCUCCACCCUGCUCUCCAUCCAAAGUUCGUUGGCUAAAGGCGUACAACAAAGUGAGAGUAAAACUCCAUGAGGGCCGAGAUCAAGAUGGUGACCCCGCCAAGCACCCUUGGGCCAAGCCAGGAGGAAAUGCACCGUUUGGCAUUGACAGCAUGCCAGAUCUCCGCAAGAGGAGGCCCAUUCCUCUUGUUAGUGAACUGG